AUUUGUGGCCCCUCUUGACUAUUUUGACCAAAAUUAUGCUGACAUGGAUAUUAUAUACACGUGUCUUAAUUUAAUUGGUAAAAACAAAUGUGUAUUAUUUAUUUAAAAAUAAAAAAAUAAAUUGGAAGCCAAGGUCACGUGAGUAUUAUUUUUAUUUUGCAGAAACUCAUUGUUGUCUCUCCCAAUUACUUCAACAUAUCAAAUCUUAGAUUCAACUUUCUUCUUCUCAUCCCAUCUCAGAUUAUCAUAUUUUUCUUCUUCCCCUCUCAAAUCGAUCAAUUUUAACUAUCUUCUUCCAUGUUUAACUCGUCGCCUUCAAUUUCGUGGGUAUAGUUCGAACCCUAAAUUUAAUUUUUCUUCGUGUGUAUUGUUUGAAGGUCGUGUAGCAGAAUGUCGAAGAGUUGUGUCAAUUCGUCUC
rnacentral:lncRNA from 1 species